rnacentral:rRNA from 1 species
AGUGAACGCUGGCGGUAGGCCUAACACAUGCAAGUCGAACGGCAGCACAGUAAGAGCUUGCUCUUACGGGUGGCGAGUGGCGGACGGGUGAGGAAUACAUCGGAAUCUACUUUUUCGUGGGGGAUAACGUAGGGAAACUUACGCUAAUACCGCAUACGACCUACGGGUGAAAGCAGGGGAUCUUCGGACCUUGCGCGAUUGAAUGAGCCGAUGUCGGCUUAGCUAGUUGGCGGGGUAAAGGCCCACCAAGGCGACGAUCCGUAGCUGGUCUGAGAGGAUGAUCAGCCACACUGGAACUGAGACACGGUCCAGACUCCUACGGGAGGCAGCAGUGGGGAAUAUUGGACAAUGGGCGCAAGCCUGAUCCAGCCAUACCGCGUGGGUGAAGAAGGCCUUCGGGUUGUAAAGCCCUUUUGUUGGGAAAGAAAAGCAGCAGGUUAAUACGCCGCUGUUCUGACGGUACCCAAAGAAUAAGCACCGGCUAACUUCGUG